GUAAGCGGUACAGCGAAAGCGUUAAGUUAUCCACCUGGGGAGUACGCCGGCAACGGUGAAACUCAAAGGAAUUGACGGGGGCCCGCACAAGCGGAGGAACAUGUGGUUUAAUUCGAUGAUACGCGAGGAACCUUACCCGGGCUCGAACGGUAGAUGAAAGAUCUGGAAACAGACUGACCGCAAGGACAUUUAUCGAGGUGCUGCAUGGUUGUCGUCAGCUCGUGCCGUGAGGUGUCGGCUUAAGUGCCAUAACGAGCGCAACCCCUAUCGUUAGUUACCAUCAGGUUAAGCUGGGGACUCUAGCGAGACUGCCACCGUAAGGUGUGAGGAAGGUGGGGAUGACGUCAAAUCAGCACGGCCCUUACGUCCGGGGCUACACACGUGUUACAAUGGGAUGGACAAAGGGUCGCUACCUGGCAACAGGAUGCUAAUCUCAAAACCAUCUCCCAGUUCGGAUUGGAGUCUGCAACCCGACUCCAUGAAGCUGGAUUCGCUAGUAAUCGCGCAUCAGCCAUGGCGCGGUGAAUACGUUCCCGGGCCUUGUACACACCGCCCGUCAAGCCAUGGAAGCUGGGGGUACCUGAAGUUCGUAACCGCAAGGAGCGACCUAGGGUAAAACUAGUAACUGGGGCUAAGUCGUAACAAGGUAGCCGUACCGGAAGGUGCGGCUGGAACACCUCCUUU
rnacentral:rRNA from 1 species